GGAUCUACCCCGGUUCAUAUAGCGGCCCUCUAUGGCCAAUACGAUUGUUUAAAGUCUUUAUUACAGCACGGCGGUUCAGCCGCUGCUGUCAGAGUUGACGGAUUUACCCCGUUGCAUGCAGCCGCAAAGUUUGGACAUGCAAGGUGCAUGCAGAUUUUACUUGACGCUGGAAGUCCAGCCAGCCAACCGGACACCAUCGGUUGGCAGCCUCUUCACCAGGCUGCGAGCAGUGGCUCAGGAGCGUGCGUUCAAGUUCUUCUUAGCCAGGGUAUAUCAAGCUUAUGCAGAUCACAGG